rnacentral:miRNA from 1 species
AAUCUCAUUGACCGGAAGGAAUCCCUUCCGUUUGAUGAGAUUGUUACAUCUCAUUGAUUGGAAGGAAUCCCUUCCAAUCAAUGAGGUAUAACAACCUCAUCAAUCGGAAGGGAUUCCUCCCGAUUGAUGAGGUU